GAAGUGAACAAAUUAUCAGAAAAAAUGAAGGGAAGAAGAAAGGAGAGAGACAGGAAUAAGAGGUUCUCACACAGAGCCCGAGGGAUGAGCGAACAGGAAACACAGACAGGAAUAAGAGGUUCUCACACAGAGCCCGAGGGAUGAGCGAACAGGAAACACAGACAGGAAUAAGAGGUUCUCACACAGAGCCCGAGGGAUGAGCGAACAGGAAACACAGACAGGAAUAAGAGGUUCUCACACAGAGCCCGAGGGAUGAGCGAACAGGAAACACAGACAGGAAUAAGAGGUUCUCACACAGAGCCCGAGGGAUGAGCGAACAGGAAACACAGACAGGAAUAAGAGGUUCUCACACAGAGCCCGAGGGAUGAGCGAACAGGAAACACAGACAGGAAUAAGAGGUUCUCACACAGAGCCUGAGGGAUGAGCGAACAGGAAACACAGACAGGAAUAAGAGGUUCUCACACAAAGCCCGAGGGAUGAGCGAACAGGAAACACAGACAGGAAUAAGAGGUUCUCACACAGAGCCCGAGGGAUGAGCGAACAGGAAACACAGACAGGAAUAAGAGGUUCUCACACAGAGCCCGAGGGAUGAGCGAACAGGAAACACAGACAGGAAUAAGAGGUUCUCACACAGAGCCUGAGGGAUGAGCGAACAGGAAACACAGACAGGAAUAAGAGGUUCUCACACAGAGCCCGAGGGAUGAGUGAACAGGAAACACAGACAGGAAUAAGAGGUUCUCACACAGAGCCCGAGGGAUGAGCGAACAGGAAGACAGACAGAAAUUAGAGGUUCUCACACAGAGCCCGAGGGAUGAGCGAACAGGAAACACAGACAGGAAUAAGAGGUUCUCACACAGAGCCUGAGGGAUGAGCGAACAGGAAACACAGACAGGAAUAAGAGGUUCUCACACAAAGCCCGAGGGAUGAGCGAACAGGAAACACAGACAGGAAUAAGAGGUUCUCACACAGAGCCCGAGGGAUGAGCGAACAGGAAACACAGACAGGAAUAAGAGGUUCUCACACAGAGCCCGAGGGAUGAGCGAACAGGAAACACAGACAGGAAUAAGAGGUUCUCACACAGAGCCCGAGAGAUGAGCGAACAGGAAACACAGACAGGAAUCAGAGGUUCUCACACAGAGUCCGAGGGAUGAGCGAACAGGAAACACAGACAGGAAUAAGAGGUUCUCACACAGAGCCCAAGGGAUGAGCAAACAGGAAACACAGACAGGAAUAAGAGGUUCUCACACAGAGCCCGAGGGAUGAGCGAACAGGAAACACAGACAAGAAUAAGAGGUUCUCACACAGAGCCCGAGGGAUGAGCAAACAGGAAACACAGACAGGAA